UACAGAGGUCUCAAGCGUUGUUCGGAUUCAUUGGGCGUAAAGGGUGUGUAGGUGGCGCGCUAAGUCGGGUGUGAAAUUUCGGAGCUUAACUCCGAAACUGCAUUCGAUACUGGCGUGCUUGAGGACUGGAGAGGAGACUGGAAUUCAUGGUGUAGCAGUGAAAUGCGCAGAUAUCGGGAGGAACACCCGUAGCGAAGGCGGCACUCUGGGCCGGUACUGACGCUGAGGCGCGAAAGCUAGGGGAGCGAACAGG
rnacentral:rRNA from 1 species